UACAGAGGGCCCGAGCGUUGUUCGGAUUCAUUGGGCGUAAAGGGUGCGUGGGCGGCGCGGUAAGUCGGGUGUGAAAUCUCGGAGCUUAACUUCGAAACUGCAUUCGAUACUGCCGUGCUUGAGGACUGGAGAGGAGACUGGAAUUUACGGUGUAGCGGUGAAAUGCGUAGAUAUCGUAAGGAAGACCAGUGGCGAAGGCGGGUCUCUGGACAGUUCCUGACGCUGAGGCACGAAGGUCAGGGGAGCAAACGGG
rnacentral:rRNA from 1 species